rnacentral:rRNA from 1 species
UACAGAGGGUGCAAGCGUUAAUCGGAGUUACUGGGCGUAAAGGGCGCGUAGGCGGUCGUACAAGUGAGAUGUGAAAUCCCUGGGCUUAACCUGGGAACUGCAUCUUAGACUGUGCGACUAGAGUAUUGUAGAGGAUAGUGGAAUUUCCGGUGUAGCGGUGAAAUGCGUAGAGAUCGGAAGGAACACCAGUGGCGAAGGCGACUGUCUGGACAAAUACUGACGCUGAGGCGCGAAAGCGUGGGGAGCAAACAGG